GUUCUAUAUCCAUAAGUGCCAUCUUCUGCCCAAGUAGCAGGUCCAUAAUAAUUAAUAAUAUGUUGAGGAGGCCACUUAUCUUCCCAGCUACCUAUAUUCAAGGAUGCUCUCUCUCUUUUAUGAUUUACAUCGUAAACCUUAACUCCCAAGGUCUCUCCUGUCUCAAUUGGCAACAAGAAGAAGGAUGGCUUUGGCAUACCUAAUACACAUGCCCCUUCCCAAUCUUGUGGUAACU